CGAUCGAACAUAUAAGAUGGCAGCCCAUUAAAGAGUUCAUAUAUGCGUGUAGUUGUUUUGUGCAGUAAUUCUAUAGUUUUUUUCUUAACAAUAAUUUACACAUAGUAAUCAUGGGUACAUCGGAUUUAGAAUGUUUAGACUCUAAGAGAGACAUUGUCGGUAUAGACUCUGAAUCCGACAUGUUGAUCGACCAAAGAAAGAAAAAGAAAAGAAAACAUAAGCAUCAUAAGCAUAAAAAAGAUAAAUUAAUUGAAAGAGAAGAUGGUAGGAUAGACAGACAAGAAAGAAAGAGACACAAGAAACAUAAACGACCUAAAAAAGAAAGAGAAGUCGAAAAUGGAUCACUAGAUGAGAAAUCAACCCGUGUGAUUCAGAAAGACAUAGGCGUAAAUGGCAAAGUAAAAAAUUCUUUAUUAGAAGUGGUUUCUACGGAAGAAAGCGAAGAUGAAAAAUUAGUAGAUUUAGAUUCAGACGAAGUAGAUUGUACAAUCAUUGAGGAUGAUAUUGAUCUCGAAGAGUUAAUGAAACAGAAGGAAAGGUUACAAGCAUGUUUAGUACAGUACCUCUCAGAUGAAUCUGAAAAAGAAGAUAAAGAACCAGAUCAAGAUGAAGUAAAAGUCACAGAAACACCUGAUGUUAUACUUGUUGAAGAUGAUAGCGAGAAUGACAAUAUACCUCCCAAGAAAAGAGCUAGAAGUAAAUCUGGUAGUAGAGAACGCAAAAAAGUAGCGAAACCUGAAAGACGCGUGGUAGUGGAUAUGAGCAGAGAUCGUAGGAGUCGAGAAGAACAUAAAGAGAAACGAAGAGAUUCUGACAGGAGAAGAGAGGAUAAAAUCCGUACCAAGGAGGAAGUAAGGAGAGAUGACAAUAGGAAAGAUGAUAGGCAAGUACGAAAACCGAGCGAUAGGCACAGAGACGAUUCCCGAAAGGAGGAUAAUAAGAGAAGGCCGGAAGAUGAUAAACGUAAAGAUUCUAUUAAAAGAGACGAGUCGCGUAAAAGAGAACAAGAUAGACGGGAAGAAGAUCGCCGACGAGAUUCAGAUCAUCACAGUAAUUCCAGAUCCCGUAAUGAAUACAAAUCAUUAGACAAAUCUGACAAGUCAAGGCGGGAUAGUCGUGACAGGUUGGAAAGCAGAGAACGACAAGGUAGUCGGGAUCGCCACGUCAGUCGGGACCGACAUGUUAGCAGAGACAGACAUGUUAGUAGGGAUCGACAUAUCAGUCGGGACCGUCACAUUAGUCGGGACAGACACGUCAGUCGAGAUCGUCAUGCUAGUAGAGAUCGUCACGCCAGCAGAGAUCGGCCGUCGAGUAGAGACCGUCGUAGCCGAGACAGACCUCCUAGCAGAGACAAACAUAGCCGUGAUAAAAGAGACAGUAGGGAACGCCAUGCUAGUCGAGACCGACACAGAGAUAGUAGAGGAAGUCGCGACCGCAAUGAUGUUCGGGAUCGACGGGACAGCCGAAAUCAUGACAGGAUCAGGGACCGGUCAAGAAGCGUGAGAAGGUCACGUAGCCCUCUUAGAAGUAGAUUAGACAGAGAUCGAAAUGAUCGGUACAAACACUCGAGAUCGUUGUCUCGAAGUCGGAGAGAUAGAGACAAACACAUCAGAGAUCAUGACAGAGACAGAGAGAAAAAUGGUAAAAGGGAACGGGGUGAUAAAUACAAAGACUCUUUAUCUGAAGGACUGAAAAUAGAUCAUUCAGAAAGUUCGAGCGAAGAGGAUAUCAAGGAUAUUGAUAUCGAGGAAGAAGAGGAUGAAGAAGCGAUUAUAGAACGUAGGAGAAAGCAAAGAGAAGCGCUUCUUAAGAGGUUAGGUGGACCAAAUGAAGAUUCAAAUAUGUCUGCCGACAUAAACACUGUUCCUGCUACACCGCCUUCAGAAAGUCAAUCAAACGUAUCUCAGAAAUCCAUAGAAAUUCCAUCAAACAAUAACGAAUCCACUUCAGAGAGUCAUACCCCACCACUGCCUGAGAAACCAAAGUCACCGUUAAUCAAAGCUAGAAAAUCUAGGUUUGAAGAUGCACCGUCAGAAGAGACUGAGAAAAUUGAGGAUACAAAGCCAACAGAAAAAGUUAAACAAGAUGAUAAACAAAAUGCAAAGAAGGCAAACGAAUGGGACAUGUUUGCUGAGGCAGAUAAUAUUGGUGAUUUUAAUAGUCCAACUGUCGAAGGGAAGCGACAAGGUGGCCCUGAUAAUCCUAGUUUAACAGACAACUGGGAUGAUGCAGAAGGAUAUUAUAGAGUACGUGUAGGUGAAACUUUAGAUUCUAGAUACGUUGUUUAUGGAUAUACAGGCCAAGGUGUAUUUAGUAACGUUGUGAGAGCUAGAGACAGUGCUAGAGGCAAUCUGGAUGUCGCUGUAAAAAUAAUAAGGAACAAUGAAAUAAUGCAUAAGACUGGCCUUAAAGAGUUAGAAAUCCUUAGAAAACUUAAUGACGCUGAUCCAGAGGAUAGAUUUCAUUGUUUACGACUUUUUAGGCAUUUCUAUCAUAAGAAUCAUUUAUGUAUGGUGUUUGAACCUUUAGCUAUGAAUUUAAGAGAGGUUUUAAAAAAGUACGGGAAAGACGUUGGUUUACACGUAAAAGCGGUAAGAUCGUAUACGCAGCAACUUUUCCUUGCUCUGAAGUUAUUAAAACGUGCAAAUAUUCUGCAUGCUGACAUCAAACCGGAUAACAUUCUAGUCAGUGAGAGCAAGCUAGUAUUGAAAUUAUGCGAUUUCGGUUCAGCCUCUCAUGCUCAUGAGAAUGAAAUAGCGCCAUAUCUUGUAUCAAGAUUUUACCGGGCUCCUGAGAUUAUUCUUGGCACGCCAUAUGAUUUCGGCAUUGACAUGUGGUCCGUGGGAUGCACCAUAUAUGAAUUGUACACGGGAAAAAUAAUGUUCUCCGGCAAAACCAACAACCAAAUGUUGAAAUUCUUCAUGGACCUAAAAGGCAAAAUUCCUAAUAAGCUGAUUAGGAAAGGCACAUUCAAGGAUCAGCAUUUUGACUCUAACUGCAAUUUCCUGUAUCAUGAAAUUGAUAAGGUCACAGAGCGGGCGAAAGUUGUAGUAAUGUCAACAAUACCCGCAACUCGUGAUCUUGGUGCAGAGUUAGGCGGAAACUCAUUGCCACCGGAACAAAGCCGUAAAGUUGGACAAUUGAAGGAUCUCUUGGAACGAACGUUAAUGUUGGACGCAGGAAAGAGGAUCACAGUGAACCACGCUCUGGCACAUCCCUUUAUACAAGAAAAGAUCUAGGUAACCCUGUCCGGGGUCCCACAUCGGAGAAUUCAUUGACGUAAUUUGCAAAAAAAAAGAAACGACACCGCUAACGAUUUGUUGUAUACUAUAAAAACAUACUAACAUAAGCGGUGUCUCCUUAUAUUGAAUGUCUUGUAUCCGUUUUAGCAGAAAGAGGCGGUGCAAAAGUUUCACGUUGUCACUAGCUCCGUCUAUAAGUAACAGAAAAAACACACAUUCUCCAGAUAAAUAAAUACAUACGUACAAGGGAAACAAAUGAUUUGAAUCACACAUUGUACUCUAUCAAUCUGAACCGUAUUAUUUAAUGAACGAUAACUAUUGCAGGUCAAUAGAGUGCAAUAUUUUUAUAUUAAGUAAAAUAACCAAGUACGAGCGAUGAAUAAUAAAAAAAAAAAGUAAUAAUAAUGUUGGAGUUCACUGAUGCAUUUAUCGACGAUCAUAAAACGACAGGUGUUUGUACACAGCUCGGAACAAUCGAUAAAGUAAUAAACCAACGGUGAAUACUAGAAGGAGGAGGCUCGCCGCAAUUACAAUGGUAAAUCAAAAUACUUCUGUGGAUGAAAAAUGAACUUGGGGAUAAAUGUGACCGCCUCUUUCAGCGUGAACUGGCCAUCGAUACUUAGCAUAAAGAAUGGUGAUGAGUCUUCGAUUCAAAGCAUCGUUAAGCGCGGUUGGACCUAUCAUGGGCAUUUAACGGCGAUCCCGUUGCAAGCCCUCCCUGUGAGGAGGGGAGACAAUGGAAGAGAUGAAAAAAGCUGUUGAUGGAAAACAAUGAUGAUGAA
rnacentral:lncRNA from 1 species